rnacentral:lncRNA from 1 species
CACCAGGCGCAGGGCGUGCGUGAAGGAGGGGUCCAGGGAGUCCUUCUCCGCCAUCAGCUCGGGCACGUACUUAUAAGAGAGUAAGGCAGGGGCGCCGUCCUUUCUCCGCGCCUGAGCUCAGAGCGCCAACCUCCUGAGAUCCGCCAGCUCAGAGCCAGCUCAAGUCCCGGCCUCAAUGUCACCUUCCCUGGACAGCCUCUCAGGACCUCCCUGGCAAGUCUCAACUUGCAAGAAGCAGAAAAAUGGCACAGUUAAAAGCAAAGCCUCUGGGGUUAAACAGCCUGGAUUUGGAAUCAUGGAUCUGCUGCUCACUAGCUGUGACCUUGGGCAAGUUUCUUCACCUCAGGGUCCUCAUCCGUCAAGUGGAGAUGACAACCAAACUUGGUAGCAAUCUGGAACACUCCUGACUGGCUCUUCAUCCCUCCCUGAUCUGAGUUGGCAGUCAGUCCACCAGCAGCUGUGGAGGAGGGCUAUGCACUGGGAAACUGACAGCAAGGGCACUGAAUCUUCUGCUCCAGACCCUCCUUCUCCGAGAACCUUCCAAGAAGGCAGGUGCCAAACGCGCAUAAUUUAACUUUGAAAAGGAGGUUUGUGUUAACAGGAAGAAACACAGAACAAAACAAUUGAUUGAAGACCUAUGAGGAUAAAAUUUCAAGGAAAGAAAAAUAUGGCCAAAUA